GAGGAUACUUGUCUUGAUCGACAACCCUUGUGUUCUCGAGCUUUAUAUUGAGGUACUGAUCGACGGAAUGAAGAGGUACUCUUCAUUGUGUA